rnacentral:lncRNA from 1 species
CAUUUGUUGUCUCACACUUUAUGUCAUUCUAUAUAUCAUAGAUUUGUGAUUGAUCAAAAAAAAUAUAUUUAAAUUAAAAUUUAAUUAUCAAGUAUUUUUCUAACUACUUACAAGCUCAUGACAUAUGAAGUGACACAAAGUGUGAGACAAGAGGUUGCUCUUGCUCCCGGAAUAGUGUGUGAGGGAAACACAAAAACCAACACAAAUAGAUUCAAUUAAUUAAUAUAAAGUCCAACAAUGAAGAUGCUCUAUGCAACUUUAUAUAUUCUAAAUUUCCAAGCCUUAGCACCCCUAAUAAUGAUGUGGAGCUUUUGUCAAACUAUUUCUUCUAUUAGAAGUUACAUGGAAUAUUCCAGUUAAGGUAAGAUCAUGUGGAAGAAGGUAACUAGAAACACACAAGCACACAAAUAAGCACACCCACAUAGAGAGAGCAAAAUAUAUACAUAUCCUACACAUGGGAAUGGUUUGUGGACAAAGCAAAAGAAAGC